AUCUACGGGCAUACCAACUGAACCUGCCCGAUCGCUUCUGAUCUCGGAAGCUUAGCAGUGUGGGGCCUGGUUAGUACUUGGAUGGGAGACCGCCUGGGAAUAACAGGUGUUGUGGGCU
ensembl:rRNA 5S_rRNA 5S ribosomal RNA